rnacentral:lncRNA from 1 species
CCAGCCUGGCCAACAUGGUGAAACCCCCUCUCUACUAAAAAUACAAAAAAAUUAGCCAGGUGUGGUGGCACAUGCCUGUAGGCCCAGCUACCCGGGAGGCUGAGGCAGGAGAAUAGCUGGAACCUGGGAGGCGGAGCUUGCAGUGAGCCGAGAUCGUACCACUGCACUCCAGCCUGGGUGACAGAGUGAGAUUCUGAAAAAAAAGAAAGAAAAUACCGAGGAGUAGUGGGCAUCUUCAUUGUAUCAGCCCAGUGGCCACUUCCCUUUUUUCUGUGAAUAGUACCCCAAAUAUCUUUCUGGGACCCACUUUUUUCCCACUCUUAGUCCAUGAGAUAAGCUAGGGCUCCCCAUCCUCAUCCUACUUCUUCCCAGCUCUGAGAGUUAAGCAUAAGGGCCUGACCAAGCUUCCUCAUCACAGGGAUUGGUUGGCACCCAGGACUCAGUCUUGAAGUUAGUACUGAUUGGGAAUCAGUCCUGAACACCCAAUGUAGUUGCAUCCUCCUGGCCACGUGACCGAAGCUGAGCCAACCAUAGUCUAUCCCAGCUACUGGAAAGUUGGAUUUGAACUUGAGUGAAUGAGACUCGAGCUACUGGGGGCCAUCAUUUAGGGACUGAAAAGGAAGUCACUACAGCAGAAGGAGGGCUGAGAGAUGGGGAGAAAUCAGAUGCUAAUGUUGAUUUGCGCCAGCUGUAUCUCGAAGAUCUACCCCUAGACUGCUCAGUAACAUGAGCAAUAGGGUCCCCCUUUCUCUGAAGCCAGUUUGAGUUGGGUUCUGUCUUUUACAACAGAAGGAGUUCCAGAUGAAAUCUCUGAGGAUGUGACUCCACUUGGAUAACACCUCCCUGAGCUGCAAGGCAAGGAUUACUCUAUUUUAUAGAUCUGGUCACUGACAGCCAGAGACCAGAACUCUCCUGAGGUCACACAGCAUUGUCCGAGGUCUUAGCUUUUGUGAUGUCUGACCUGAUAUGCUCCUCCAUGAGAUCUUGCUGUCUCCAUGAGCAAGCUUGGCAGGAUGGCCAGCCAAGCCCUACUCACAGGCACCUGCAAGCCAGUAAGGAGGGUUGCCAGGAGAAUAGGGCAUCCUGGUGAGGUACCGGGAGUGCCUCUAAGACAGAGACAAGUCCAUUGGGGCAGAUGAGCUUCUCCCUCUCCAAGGUGAUGUGCCAAGUGACUCAUGGUUUCUCUCAUCUCCUUGAUGCUGAUCUAAAGGCGUUAGUUGACCAGCAGAAAUGAUUAGGUUGUCUAGAUCAUUCAUAUAGAUAAUUGACAUCAACACACCAGAAAACAGCUACCUAUCACUUACUUGCCACCAAGUCCUGCCAAAUGCAAGCUCAUCUCUUUGAUUCCAAUGUUUUCCCCAUUUCUGAGAAAACCACACUCCUCCAGUUUUUCUUUUCCCACUGACCUAUCAGUUAAAUCAGCAAAUACUUACUGUGUGCCUACUCCCACGCAAAACAUUGGACUAGUUGAUUGGAAACACAGAAGGAAUCAUUCAAUAUUUGUGAAUUCAAUAGUGGUUCAUUGAGCCAGGCACAACAUGCCAGACACUUUUCAGGUGCUGGCGAACACAACUGUGAGGAAAACAGCAGAAUCUAUUGUCCUCGUGGUGUCCACAGUCUGGUGGAGGGAUAAGAUGUAGCAGAGGAUUGUAAUUGCUUUUUGGCCACCCAGUUUCCCUUAAUAAAAGCUCCUGAUGUCUUUUGGAGAAUGACCUCUCAUCUAGGCCUUUUUGGACGGACUGCAGUUUCAGGGGCCUUGUGUAUUCCUAAUCAAUACUAACAUCAAGAUUAGUAGAACACUUGCCCUCUAUAGUCAGUAUCACAGGUUUGCUCAUUGAGUGCUCACCAAUACCUAUGGAUAGGUAUCCUCAUGUUCAGAGAGGGAAACUGGGGCAUACUGAGAAUGACUUGGUCACGUGGCUGGUAAAUGGCAGAGCCAGGAUUCAAACCCAGCCUGGCUAGUUCCAGAUACUGCUCUUAACCACCAAUCUACAAUGCUUUGUGAUGUCAGGGAGCUUGUGUUGCCUGGGUGUGGGGACGAUCCAACUGGAUCAUUUGGUCCAAUUGUACUUUUUCUCCCGGAAAUAAGGACCAUGAAAAUAGUGAUGCAAAGAUGGACAGCAUUGUUGCAGUAGCUGUCUUCCGUUGCUAAUGUUCUGAUGUGAUUGUCGUAUACCUCCCACUUGCCUGUAAUCCUGGAGCUUCCCUGGUUGUUUCCCCGUGCAAUGUGAUUCUUGAGUGUUCAUUAUAUUCUGCAGGCCACCCCACAUGCUUCCAAUAAACUCC